CUUGUAUACAUUUUUGACCUUUAGGAUACAACAAGAAAUGCAAAGAUAUUUGUCAAUCAAGCAGACCCAACAGAGUGCUGAUGCUCCUGAUGUUCAGAAAAAAAUCCUAUUUGGAUUCAGAGUUAUGUCACGUGCAUUUUCCGACCCCCCAAAGACUGAGCAAAACUU